rnacentral:lncRNA from 1 species
CUUUCACCUUUCAGCGCCUUUGCUUAUGCUGAUCUGACUGUAACUGCAUUCCCACCCUUCUCCUUCUGGGUAAAGGGCAUCUUCUUUCCAAACUCAACUCUUAGCAUCAGAAAGCUGUCCCUGAUACUGCAGUUGAGUCGCAUGUGAUACUGAAAAAAAAAGAAAAAAGGAAAAAAAAGAGAGCUCUCCCUGAAUCCCUUGGUGGACUAUGUUAGGUAAACUUCAUCUUUGCCUGCAUCAUAUUAUGUAUUGGUUCUUCUCUGCCCCCUCGAUUGUAAACUCCUCAGGGGCAGAGGUAACAGCUUUGCAGCCCUGGGAGUUAGGUUUGCUUAAGGGACCAGAACAGGUGUGACUGGCAGGGAGCGAAGUCUGGAGCUUUGUCUGAGGCGCUGAUAGGUGGAUCGGCGGAAGGACGCGGAACCUGGACAGGUCGGAAAUAAAGCCGGGCGAGCAGCUCUGUGCGCGAUGUGACUUCAUGAGUGGAUGCUGAGAAAAGCGGCAGAGUACGACUUUAACCGCCUAGCCACAACACGUCCUGCUAGGGCGAGGAGGGAGACAGUGAUACAGCACUGGGCAAGUGCUGAAGCGACAAUUACUUCUAGGGCGGGGUAAAAGCCCCAGAGUAUUUUUGCUGGAAGGAGGUAUUUAUUUGAGCAGGGUUCUGGAAGACGAGCCGCCGAAGGGUACCUCCGGCUUUCCGUUUCAAGUCCCACGCUGGUGGAGGUUGCUCGGUACCCGCGCCUGCGCGUGCCCGUCUCGACUCUUAGGCCCGCCCUUUCCUGCCAGACCUGGAGGGGCGGGGCGGUGCCGGCAAGAUGGCUGCGCCCGAGAAGAUGACGUUUCCCGAGAAACCAAGGUAAGCGCCGUACGGGGAGAUGAGCAGGCGAGCGGGCCGAUCGUGGGCAUGGAGGAUGUGGUGGCAGGAAGAAAAGAGAAGCUGGGCCAAGCUAAGUGAGCCACCGCGGCAGCUCCAUUCCUUCCUGGUGCGCGCUCUGGUGCCCUCCCCGGACUUGCACGGGCGGCUGUGGCUCAGGCAAGCGAGGAGAGGAUCAGGUUGGCGGAUGGAGAAGAACUGUCUGGGAGUGGGAGGAUGAGGCGAUGAUAGAUGGCUGUUCUGUAAUUAAAAUACAGGAAGCAAGGUUUCUCUCCUCAGCACCCGAACUAUUUCCUUUCAUUGGGCACAGAGGAGCGGGGAGCUCGGGCAGCGCUGCAUUGUAGCCGCUGAUCGUCGUGUAUAUGUCUUAAUCUUCCAGCCACAAAAAGUACAGGGCCGCCCUGAAGAAGGAGAAACGAAAGAAACGUCGGCAGGAACUUGCUCGACUGAGAGACUCAGGACUCUCACAGAAGGAGGAAGAGGAGGACACUUUUAUUGAAGAACAACAACUAGAAGAAGAGAAGCUAUUGGAAAGAGAGAGGCAAAGAUUACAUGAGGAGUGGUUGCUAAGAGAGCAGAAGGCACAAGAAGAAUUCAGAAUAAAGAAGGAAAAGGAAGAGGCGGCUAAAAAACGGCAAGAAGAACAAGAGAGAAAGUUAAAGGAACAAUGGGAAGAACAGCAGAGGAAAGAGAGAGAAGAGGAGGAGCAGAAACGACAG